GGGACUGCAGCAAACUGGGGUCCGUAAGGUAAAUAAUUACGGACCCCGGUAAUGCUUUAUGGAGCCCCGCGGGGCUGUAACCCAUGGGGAAAAAUAGGCUCUGGGAUCCGUUAGAGCUGCCUGAUUCACCACAGAGAAAACCUCGGUUGGAUUCUUCUCAGUCAAACAAUCCUGUAACCCAGACCUCAGGCACUUCGCACCUGACAAGACAAUGGACAAAGAAUCACAGACAAAUCUACUCCGGCAGACUCAUACCUCGGCAUAAGAACGACACGGCACCAGGUGAAUAACGCUCUACCUAACGUGAAGUCUGACCAUUGAUCCAACAAACACAAAUGCCUGGAAGAGGACUUCCAGUCAUCUUGGAGGAUGAUUGUUCUAGAUUCUUGAAGACCUGCACUGCAGGAUUAUGUCAGAACGUCAAAGGCAGCGGACCCACAUGCACGGCACGGACAAGCUGGGAUAUAAAGAAAGGGAUUUAUUCCAACUCAAGGUCAGGAUCAGGCAGGGUCAUACACGGACAGUUCAUACGGCACAAUGGCGAGAAUCAGGCAGACUCGGUGUCGGGGACAGGCAAGGUUCGUAUACAAGAGACUGGAUUACAGUACCGUUCCAUCAGACGUGAGAUUGUGGUCAGGCAAGCAGGCAAGGUCGGCAUCAGGCAGGAUCAGAAAACCAAGGCUUACAAGACAGGCAGGGACUAGACAGGCUCGGCCUCGGUGGUCAAAACAAGGUACACGACACACAAAUGGGCUAGGUUACUGAACGCUGGAAUGUGGUGAAUAACAUGCAAACAUGAUCUAACAAUUUGGCAAGGUACUGGGGUGAGAGGUGGUGCUUAAAUGCUAGGUGGCCUGAUUACAGAUGAGCUGCAGGUGUGGGUAAUGAGAACCGGUACUGGCAGGGAACAGCUGUGAUAUGACGUUUAGCAGGAAGUCCUUUGAACAUAAAAGCGGAAGUGAAACCAAGACGUGACCGUGAGUCCUUCAAAAUAAAAACCCGAGAAAAGACA
rnacentral:lncRNA from 1 species